UACGUAGGGACCAAGCGUUGUCCGGAAUCAUUGGGCGUAAAGGGUGCGUAGGCGGCGCGGUAAGUCGGGUGUGAAAUCUCGGAGCUUAACUCCGAAACUGCAUUCGAUACUGCCGUGCUUGAGGACUGGAGAGGAGACUGGAAUUUACGGUGUAGCGGUGAAAUGCGUAGAUAUCGUAAGGAAGACCAGUGGCGAAGGCGGGUCUCUGGACAGUUCCUGACGCUGAGGCACGAAGGCCAGGGGAGCAAACGGG
rnacentral:rRNA from 1 species